rfam:Lachnoclostridium sp. YL32, complete genome.
GUGAACUGAUAAUUCGAUUGGUGGAAUGAUGGGGUAACGCCCUGAAACGCCAGCCUAAUACUCCGACUGGCUCAAAGCGGAAACGCUAUGGGUCAGAAGCUCGGUGAAGUCGGCUGAGAGUGACCGUAAGAAUUGCUGGAUAACAACCAGCCACACGAAAGCCGCCCAGAGGUGGGCGGUGUCACCUAUAGGCCGGGGCUCUAUAAA